GCGUAAGGAGGUUCUGCUAAAAGCUCGGCGUCCUGCCGCAACGCAGAACUGACCUGCAUCGUGCAGG
rnacentral:sRNA from 1 species